rnacentral:rRNA from 1 species
GAUGAACGCUGACAGAAUGCUUAACACAUGCAAGUCGAUUCGAUUUACCUUCGGGUAUUGAGGAUGGCGGACGGGUGAGUAACGCGUAAGGAACUUGCCUCUUGGUCUGGGACAACUGUUGGAAACGACAGCUAAUACCGGAUAUUAUGAGAUUCUCGCAUGGGAAACUUAUGAAAGCUAUAUGCGCCAAGAGAGAGCCUUGCGUUCCAUUAGCUAGUUGGUGGGGUAACGGCCCACCAAGGCGACGAUGGAUAGCCGGCCUGAGAGGGUGAACGGCCACAAGGGGACUGAGACACGGCCCUUACUCCUACGGGAGGCAGCAGUGGGGAAUAUUGGACAAUGGGCCACAAGCCUGAUCCAGCAAUUCUGUGUGCACGAUGAAGGUCUUCGGAUUGUAAAGUGCUUUCAGUUGGGAAGAAGAAAGUGACGGUACCAACAGAAGAAGCGACGGCUAAAUACGUGCCAGCAGCCGCGGUAAUACGUAUGUCGCAAGCGUUAUCCGGAUUUAUUGGGCGUAAAGCGCGUCUAGGCGGAAAAAUAANUCUGANGUUAAAAUGCGGGGCUCAACUCCGUAUUGCGUUGGAAACUGUUUUUCUAGAGUACUGNAGAGGUGGGCGGAACUACAAGUGUAGAGGUGAAAUUC